GAUCAUGGCUCAGGAUGAACGCUAGCUACAGGCUUAACACAUGCAAGUCGGAGGGGCAGCAUGAACUUAGCUUGCUAAGUUUGAUGGCGACCGGCGCACGGGUGAGUAACACGUAUCCAACCUUCCGUUUACUCAGGGAUAGCCUUUCGAAGAAAGAUUAAUACCUGAUAGUAUGGUUGAGAUUGGCAUGAUAACACCUUUAAAGAUUUAUUGGUAAACGAUGGGGAUGCGUUCCAUUAGGUAG
rnacentral:rRNA from 1 species